GGGAUUGUGGCUCAGUGGUAGAGUGUUCACCUUGCAUGUGUGAAGUACUGGGUUCUAUCCUCAGCACCA
rfam:Ictidomys tridecemlineatus contig074473, whole genome shotgun sequence.